ensembl:miRNA mir219-1 microRNA 219-1
AGGGUCCCAGAGAUUGAUUGUCCAAACGCAAUUCUUGUAACAUAUAAUAUAAAUCCAAGAAUUGUGCCUGGACAUCUGUUGCUGGAGAUUC